rnacentral:misc_RNA from 1 species
AAGUCGUAACAAGGUCUCCGUUGGUGAACCAGCGGAGGGAUCAUUAACACGUGUAAAAACGUAUUACUAUACCUAACUAACCAAUACCGUGAACUAUGUUUUUAUCAACAUUUUUUAUCUUUUUAUUUGUUACUAUUUUACGAUAGUAAUGAGUGAAUUCUUAACCUUUUCCAAUUUCUUCUUUUUUUUGUUAUUGUAUUGUAUAGUGUUCAUGGUAUUUUACUAUGAUGCUGUAUGAUCAUACAUAUAAAAUAAAAAAAAUCAAAAGCACAACUCUUAGCAACGGAUAUCUUGGUUCUC